AAUGCCCCAGAGAUGUUACAGAUGUGGCUGCUCUGUUGCAUUUGUGUUAUCGGGUGGCAGAGAGAAGAGAGGCUAUGUCUACACUCAGGGUUCUGACCCAUGAACGUUUGAAUGAUUAAUAGUCUGACACUU
ensembl:snoRNA